AGGCCAAUGAGGAUUAUUAUCUUUUUAAGUUGGAAUUACCGACUGAAUCACCGUGAUGACACAGAUCGACUAUCUGAGGCCUCGA